rnacentral:rRNA from 1 species
CAGUAGGGAUCUUCCGCAAUGGGCGAAAGCCUGACGGAGCAACGCCGCGUGAGUGAUGAAGGGUUUCGGCUCGUAAAACUCUGUUAUUAGGGAAGAACAAAUGUGUAAGUAACUGUGCACAUCUUGACGGUACCUAAUCAGAAAGCCACGGCUAACUACGUGCCAGCAGCCGCGGUAAUACGUAGGUGGCAAGCGUUAUCCGGAAUUAUUGGGCGUAAAGCGCGCGUAGGCGGUUUCUUAAGUCUGAUGUGAAAGCCCACGGCUCAACCGUGGAGGGUCAUUGGAAACUGGGAAACUUGAGUGCAGAAGAGGAAAGUGGAAUUCCAUGUGUAGCGGUGAAAUGCGCAGAGAUAUGGAGGAACACCAGUGGCGAAGGCGACUUUCUGGUCUGUAACUGACGCUGAUGUGCGAAAGCGUGGGGAUCAAACAGGAUUAGAUACCCUGGUAGUCCACGCCGUAAACGAUGAGUGCUAAGUGUUAGGGGGUUUCCGCCCCUUAGUGCUGCAGCUAACGCAUUAAGCACUCCGCCUGGGGAGUACGACCGCAAGGUUGAAACUCAAAGGAAUUGACGGGGCCCCG